CUCAGGAUGAUCUUGUAGAAGUGUUUAGGGGAUCAAUGUUCUGCAAGAACCCGUUGCCUCUCAAACUUUCCCUUUUGAGUGUUUGAAAAUAAAUGAACCCAAGUAUGGUGGGGACUGGGCUGGAUCAAGUUCGUUCACAUCUCCUGCGUCUGAAAACAAGGAUGGGUUUUGCGAUGCAGCAGGAAGUCUUUUGGAACUUUCUGCUUUAGUAUGGUACACUUCAGAUUCCUUAAUCUCUGAUGGACAUUCAUCUCACCGAGCUUCCCAGCCAGGUAUUUCCAUGAAGAAAUGGGAAGACUUGAGAAACAAGGACUUCAUCUGACAAAGCAGAGUGAAAGAAAAGGAAGAAGAAAAGGUGGAGUGCCCUGUAAGUGGCAUAUUCCCUCCUGGUUCAGUUAAAAAAAGACAUUAAUCACAGUCAAAGCUGAGAAGGAACAGGCAAGUGCAGACAUAGAAAACAGGAGAAAGACAAAAUGAAGCAGCCACAUCAAUGGGUUGAAUCUCAUCACCACCAGCUUCUCCAUUUUUCCAUUCCACUGUGGAAUCUAAAGAGUAAUGAAGAUUAACAGCAAAACCAAAUCCCCUAACCUUUUGGAGUUUGUAAAUUAUUUGUCAUUGCAAACCUAACAAACAGAUCUGGAAGUGAAAAUUUCUUGUAGAGUCUUGUUCACGUUCCCAAGGCAAUGAUCUCUCAUUGCUAUAAUAGAGUUUAACCACAGAUGUUGGUUUAGUUUUUGAUAUCACUGCUUACAGAUUUUGAAACUCCCAUUGAUUUCAGUUAAUCAGUGUAGAAUUUUUUAUGUCCUUUAAUUUAAACAUAUGUUAAGGACUUUUCUGGCUCAUGGAGUCACAGGGCUGGAGAGGCAUUUGGAAGUCGUCUGCUCCAUCCUCUGCACCAAGGCUAUAUGAGCUCUAACUGUCUCUUUCCUGACAUACGUCUGUUUAAUCUGUCUGCAAGGGCUGACAUGAGGAGAGUUGAAAUGGGAAAGAAGAAGACAUGACUUUGAAGGAGAUGAAAAAGGAUUUAAAAUGCAACUUACAUAGUUUCAACCAAGCUUUUCUUUGGCUCGAUCAACAGAAAGGCAUUACCAGUGUGUAUCGCUCUGCUUCUGCCAGGUAGUGAGAUAUAAGUGGUGGGGUCUUAUCACUUUGAACUUCCUUCUACAUCUUUUUCAUCUCAAUUUCAAAACCUGUGAGGUUGUACUGUGGUCCUUUUUGACAACUCAGCAAAUGUUAAUGUCUUCAGAAAACAGCCUGAAAACAGGCACUCUUUCCUUUGACAGCAAUGUGCAAUAAUAGUAACACCCUUUCCUGAGCCUGCA
rnacentral:lncRNA from 1 species